rnacentral:rRNA from 1 species
AUGAACGCUGGCGGCGUGCCUAAUACAUGCAAGUCGAACGAACUUCCGUUAAUUGAUUAUGACGUACUUGUACUGAUUGAGAUUUUAACACGAAGUGAGUGGCGAACGGGUGAGUAACACGUGGGUAACCUGCCCAGAAGUAGGGGAUAACACCUGGAAACAGAUGCUAAUACCGUAUAACAGAGAAAACCGCAUGGUUUUCUUUUAAAAGAUGGCUCUGCUAUCACUUCUGGAUGGACCCGCGGCGUAUUAGCUAGUUGGUGAGGUAAAGGCUCACCAAGGCAGUGAUACGUAGCCGACCUGAGAGGGUAAUCGGCCACAUUGGGACUGAGACACGGCCCAGACUCCUACGGGAGGCAGCAGUAGGGAAUCUUCCACAAUGGACGCAAGUCUGAUGGAGCAACGCCGCGUGAGUGAAGAAGGGUUUCGGCUCGUAAAGCUCUGUUGUUAAAGAAGAACGUGGGUAAGAGUAACUGUUUACCCAGUGACGGUAUUUAACCAGAAAGCCACGGCUAACUACGUGCCAGCAGCCGCGGUAAUACGUAGGUGGCAAGCGUUAUCCGGAUUUAUUGGGCGUAAAGCGAGCGCAGGCGGUCUUUUAAGUCUAAUGUGAAAGCCUUCGGCUCAACCGAAGAAGUGCAUUGGAAACUGGGAGACUUGAGUGCAGAAGAGGACAGUGGAACUCCAUGUGUAGCGGUGAAAUGCGUAGAUAUAUGGAAGAACACCAGUGGCGAAGGCGGCUGUCUGGUCUGCAACUGACGCUGAGGCUCGAAAGCAUGGGUAGCGAACAGGAUUAGAUACCCUGGUAGUCCAUGCCGUAAACGAUGAUUACUAAGUGUUGGAGGGUUUCCGCCCUUCAGUGCUGCAGCUAACGCAUUAAGUAAUCCGCCUGGGGAGUACGACCGCAAGGUUGAAACUCAAAAGAAUUGACGGGGGCCCGCACAAGCGGUGGAGCAUGUGGUUUAAUUCGAAGCUACGCGAAGAACCUUACCAGGUCUUGACAUCUUCUGACAGUCUAAGAGAUUAGAGGUUCCCUUCGGGGACAGAAUGACAGGUGGUGCAUGGUUGUCGUCAGCUCGUGUCGUGAGAUGUUGGGUUAAGUCCCGCAACGAGCGCAACCCUUAUUACUAGUUGCCAGCAUUAAGUUGGGCACUCUAGUGAGACUGCCGGUGACAAACCGGAGGAAGGUGGGGACGACGUCAAAUCAUCAUGCCCCUUAUGACCUGGGCUACACACGUGCUACAAUGGAUGGUACAACGAGUCGCGAGACCGCGAGGUUAAGCUAAUCUCUUAAAACCAUUCUCAGUUCGGACUGUAGGCUGCAACUCGCCUACACGAAGUCGGAAUCGCUAGUAAUCGCGGAUCACCAUGCCGCGGGUGAAUACGUUCCCGGGGCCUUGUACACACCGCCCGUCCACCC